AUAUCUUUUAUUUGCAAUUAUACCACAAUAAUAUUUAAGUAAAUGUGCUAAUGAUAAAACAGGAUAUCUUAAAAUUUUUGCUGCAUAAUAUGUA
rnacentral:sRNA from 15 species